rnacentral:lncRNA from 1 species
AUGACGACAGAUGGUCCGACCACCUGGUCCCCACGCACCUGUGAGUCUUCCAACUUGUCCCUCUUGCUUGCAGCCUCCUCCUCCCCACACCGGAGCCCAUGUCAACGCUGCCCUUUCCAAGUCCCACGCAGCCUCCCAAUGAGGCCAGAUGCUGCUGUGGGGCCGCAGCGGGCCCUCCUCCAUGCCCGGGAGCGUCAUGCGCUCCUCCCUUGUCAACAGGCAGCACCUACCUCCGUGCAACACAGCCAUCUGUCGACGUGCCAUCUCACCGGCAGAAUGUGGGCCUCCCGAGUGCACAGACUGCUUUUUUUCUCUCAUUCCUGCUUCUUGUCCUUAGCCUUUGAAGUGGAGAGGGAAAGACGGGGAGGGGAGAAAGAGAAAAAGAAUGGCAGGUGUGCUAUUCCGUUAGCUGCUGCUGCUGCUGCUAAGUCGCUUCAGUCGUGUCCGACUCUGUGCGACCCCAUAGACGGCUAUCCCUUCCGAAUUAAUCUCUUCCGGUUGCCUUUCUCUCACCCGCGCCCACUCCCUUGAUUCCGAGGACGUGUAUGGAGCCUCCACAAAGCGUCAGGCCCCGUUCUGGGUACUGGAGAUAGAGCAGUGAGCAAAACAAAGUCCCCGUUCAUACGGAAUUUACCUUCUGGGAAACGGGGAGGGGGGUGGUGUGAAAUUCAGACAAUAGCCAAAUAGUCUGUCGGCUGGUUGAUUGCAGCUUUAAGAAUAAAGCAGUGUAGGAGUUAGAGAGCGAGGGAGGCGCUACUUUACUAGGGUGUGGUUAGGGACGCCGUCGAGUAGAGAGAGCCCCAGGAAGUGAGGAGAUAAACCUGGUGUAGAUGGUUGCGGGAAGAACAGCAAAUGGAGGGCCCUAAGGCAGGAGUGCUCAAGAGCGGCAAGGAAGUUAGUCUGGCUGGAGUCGAGUGACAGGGAGUUGGGAUCAUAACAGUCUGCUAAGACAGCCUCAUCUGUCAGGGUCAGGACAGGAGGGUACUCUUCCCCCCCUGCAGGCGUGUCUUUGUUCCCUCUGCUUUCUCACCGUUUUCUCUCUACUUUCCCUGUGCGUUUUCAACCAUUCUCUUUCCUCUUGCAAUCCCGCGUCGGUUUGUUUCUAUUUCUCCCACCUUAUCUCUUUUCCUGCCUUCCAUCAGUGCGUAAGUGCUGCACUUCACCUCUUCUUCACGGUGUUUACGCCCAUCCCCCAGACCCUCUGCUUGGUGUCUGUGUGUUCAGUCCCCUCCCUACUCUGGACUGUGGCCCCUCUGUCCACAGGAUUUCCCAAGCAAGUUUACUGGAGUGGGAUGCCGCUGGGGAAUCUUCCUGACCUAGGGAUCCUACCUGCGUCUCUUGGGUCUCCUGCAUUGGCAAUCGGAUUCUUUACCACUAGGCCACCUGGGAAGCCCUCUCCUGCCAGAGCAGAGAUAAUAUCUCAGUUCUUAUUUAUGCCAAUCCUGCUCCCCCCAUACCUCCUACAAAGAACAGGUUCUGAAAUCCUGUCUGUAUUAUCCUCUUACUCUUUUCAAAAAAG